CAGUUAGCUUCAUUAAGCCACAGUCGUUCUUCCUUUAAAAGUUGUGGGGUACUGCUGCACAGGUUGUGGGGUACUGCAGCACAGGUUGUGGGGUACUGCAGUACAGGUUGUGGGGUACUGCAGCACAGGUUGUGGGGUACUACAGUACAGGUUGUGGGGUACUGCAUCACAGGUUGUGGGGUACUGCAGCACAGGUUGUGGGGUACUGCAGCACAGGUUGUGGGGUACUGCAGCACAGGUUGUGGGGUACUGCAGUACAGGUUGUGGGGUACUGCAGUACAGGUUGUGGGGUACUGCAGCACAGGUUGUGGGGUACUGCAUCACAGGUUGUGGGGUACUGCAGUACAGGUUGUGGGGUACUGCAUCACAGGUUGUGGGGUACUGCAUCACAGGUUGUGGGGUACUGCAUCACAGGUUGUGGGGUACUGCAUCACAGGUUGUGGGGUACUACAGCACAGGUUGUGGGGUACUGCAGUACAGGUUGUGGGGUACUGCAGUACAGGUUGUGGGGUACUGCAGUACAGGUUGUGGGGUACUGCAGUACAGGUUGUGGGGUACUGCAGUACAGGUUGUGGGGUACUACAGUACAGGUUGUGGGGUACUGCAGUGCAGGUUGUGGGGUACUGCAGUACAGGUUGUGAUGUACUGCAUCACAGGUUGUGGGGUACUACAGUACAGGUUGUGGGGUACUGCAUCACAGGUUGUGGGGUACUACAGUACAGGUUGUGGGGUACUGCAUCACAGGUUGUGGGGUACUGCAUCACAGGUUGUGGGGUACUGCAGCACAGGUUGUGGGGUACUGCAUCACAGGUUGUGGGGUACUGCAGUACAGGUUGUGAUGUACUGCAUCACAGGUUGUGGGGUACUGCAGUACAGGUUGUGGGGUACUGCUGUACAGGUUGUGGGGUACUGCAGUACAGGUUGUGGGGUACUGCAGCACAGGUUGUGGGGUACUGCAGUACAGGUUGUGGGGUACUGCAGCACAGGUUGUGGGGUACUGCAGCACAGGUUGUGGGGUACUGCAGUACAGGUUGUGGGGUACUACAGUACAGGUUGUGGGGUACUACAGCACAGGUUGUGGGGUACUGCAUCACAGGUUGUGGGGUACUGCAUCACAGGUUGUGGGGUACUGCAUCACAGGUUGUGGGGUACUGCAUCACAGGUUGUGGGGUACUACAGCACAGGUUGUGGGGUACUGCAUCACAGGUUGUGGGGUACUGCAGUACAGGUUGUGGGGUACUGCAGAAUUCUAUGGCACGUUAUUUAAGUGUCAGCCAUUGUUGACAGAAUGAUGCAAUUUACCACAAUCUGCCGCCAUCUACCACAAACGGUCGCGGCAUAAAGCUCAAAACGUUUUAAAGGAAGAUCCACUGUAUCUGCCAUUUCUAGGACCAGGAAGUUUCCCUGACCCUGGGAUCUGACCAUGAACUCCUGACCCUGGGAUCUGACCAUGAACUCCUGACCCUGGGAUCUGACCAUGAACUCCUGACCCUGGGAUCUGACCAUGAACUCCUGACCCUGGGAUCUGACCAUGAACUCCUGACCCUGGGAUCUGACCAUGAACUUCUGACCCUGGGAUCUGACCAUGAACUCCUGACCCUAGGAUCUGAGCAUGAACUCCUGACCCUGGGAUCUGACCAUGAACUCCUGACCCUAGCCUGAAACUUAGGACACGGGAUAUCCCCUGUAAACUGGAAAAUAUCCCCUUAUACCUUAUACCUCUCAUAAUCUAUCAUAUAUUUUCUUAACCAAUACAUCUUCCUGUGCGGAGAGAUUAUGGAGUGACACAAUGUAGAAGAGCAUCAACCCCCCCGAGCAAAUGAACACUGGCAGAAAAGGCACACACACACACAGUCCCUCCUGCUCUCCCCUUCCCUCCAUGUCUCUUGCUAUGGGCUCCCCGAGAGGCACAGCAGUCUAAGGCACUGCAUCUCUCGGUGCUUGAGGCAUCACUACAAACACCCUGGUUCGAAUCCAGGCCGUAUCACAACCGGCCCGUGAUUGGGAGUCCCACAGGGCGGCGCACAAUUGGUCCAGCGUCGUCCGGGUUUGGCCGGUGUAGGCCGUCAUUGUAACUAACAAUUUUGUUCUUAACUGAAUUGCCAAAAUAAUAAUAAAUCUAUAUGAA
rnacentral:lncRNA from 1 species